AGAGUUUGAUCCUGGCUCAGGACGAACGUUGGCGGCGUGCUUAACACAUGCAAGUCGAGCGGGGCUCAGUAGAAAGUUUACUUUUUAUUUUGUCUAGCGGCGGACGGGUGAGUAACGCGUGGAUAAUCUGCCUGUAAGACAGGGAUAACGCCGGGAAACCGGUGCUAAUACCGCCGCAUGGCACUGAGAGAAAAGGUGGCCUCUUUACAAUGCUACCACUUAUAGAUGAGUCCGCGGCCCAUUAGCCAGUUGGUAGGGUAAAGGCCUACCAAAGCUACGAUGGUUAGCGGGUCUGAGAGGAUGACCAGCCACACUGGAACUGAGAUACGGUCCAGACUCCUACGGGAGGCAGCAGUGGGGAAUCUUCCGCAAUGGGCGAAAGCCUGACGGAGCAACGCCGCGUGAGCGAAGAAGGUUUUCGGAUUGUAAAGCUCUGUGAUAUUGGACGAACGAUUUCCCGUAAAUAAUGGGAAAGAAUGACGGUACAAUAAGAGGAAGCCACGGCUAACUAGGUGCUGGCAAACGUUGUCCGGAAUUACUGGGCGUAAAGGGCGAGUAGGUGGUUUGCUAAGUCAGAAGUGAAAACUCCGGGCUCAACUCGGAGACUGCUCUACGAAACUGGUAGACUUGAGUGCAAGAGAGGGAAGUGGAAUUCCUAGUGUAGCGGUGAAAUGCGUAGAUAUUAGGAGGAACACCAGUGGCGAAGGCGACUUCCUGGCUUGUAACUGACACUGAGGCGCGAAAGCGUGGGGAGCAAACAGGAUUAGAUACCCUGGUAGUCCACGCCGUAAACGAUGGCAGCUAGGUGUUGGGGGUAUUGACCCCUUCAGUGCCGCAGCUAACGCAAUAAGCUCUCCGCCUGGGAAGUACGGUCGCAAGAUUGAAACUCAAAGGAAUUGACGGGGGCCCGCACAAGCGGUGGAGCAUGUGGUUUAAUUCGACGCAACGCGAAGAACCUUACCAGGGCUUGACAUCCCGGGAAUUUCCAGGAAACUGGAGAGUGCCUCGCAAGAGGAGCCUGGUGACAGGUGGUGCAUGGUUGUCGUCAGCUCGUGUCGUGAGAUGUUGGGUUAAGUCCCGCAACGAGCGCAACCCUUAUCUUUAGUUGCCAUCAUUUAAGUUUGGGACUCUAGAGGGACUGCCGGUGUCAAACCGGAGGAAGGUGGGGAUGACGUCAAGUCCUCAUGGCCCUUAUGACCAGGGCUACACACGUGCUACAAUGGCUAUAACAGCAGGGAGCGAAGGAGCAAUCCGGAGCGAAUCCUCAAAAAUAGCCCCAGUUCAGAUUGUGGGCUGUGAAACUCGCCUGCAUGAAGUUUGAGUUGCUAGUAAUCGCGGAUCAGCAUGCCGUGGUGAAUGCGUUCCCGGGUCUUGUACACACCGCCCGUCACACCAUGGAAGUUGGGGGGACCCGAAGCCAGUGAUCCAACCGUAAGGAGGAAGCUGUCGAAGGUAAAACCAAUGACUGGGGUGAAGUCGUAACAAGGUAACC
rnacentral:rRNA from 1 species